rnacentral:rRNA from 1 species
GACAUGCAGAGAACUUUCCAGAGAUGGAUUGGUGCCUUCGGGAACUCUGACACAGGUGCUGCAUGGCUGUCGUCAGCUCGUGUCGUGAGAUGUUGGGUUAAGUCCCGUAACGAGCGCAACCCUUGUCCUUAGUUACCAGCACGUUAUGGUGGGCACUCUAAGGAGACUGCCGGUGACAAACCGGAGGAAGGUGGGGGAUGACGUCAAGUCAUCAUGGCCCUUACGGCCUGGGCUACACACGUGCUACAAUGGUCGGUACAAAGGGUUGCCAAGCCGCGAGGUGGAGCUAAUCCCAUAAAACCGAUCGUAGUCCGGAUCGCAGUCUGCAACUCGACUGCGUGAAGUCGGAAUCGCUAGUAAUCGUGAAUCAGAAUGUCACGGUGAAUACGUUCCCGGGCCUU